GAAAUGCGAUAAGUAGUGUGAAUUGCAGAAUUCAGUGAAUCAUCGAAUCUUUGAACGCACAUUGCGCUCUCUCGGAUUUAUCCAGGGAGCAUGCCUGUUUGACAACAUGCACAAUUGGUACAUAGCAGUAGCCUUUGAUGGUGUUGAUAGCUAAACCAACUUCUGGGAGUUUUCUUUGAGUGUUCAUUCAAAGUCUCUUGAAAUCAGUCAUGUGAGUCUACUUAUGAUCAAGCUCUGAUGUAAUAGAAUAUGUUCCAUCGGAGUGGCAUGAGCGGACCCUUUUUGCAGAAAGAUAAUCUUGCAAGUUGUUGUCAAAUCAGGUAGGAUUACCCGCUGAACUUAA
rnacentral:misc_RNA from 1 species